rnacentral:tRNA from 1 species
GCGGUAUUGGUGUAGUGGUUAACACAUCGGUUUGUGGAUCCGACAUACGUGGGUUCGAUUCCCACAUACCGCC